rnacentral:rRNA from 1 species
AACUAUUGGAAACGAUAGCUAAUACCGCAUAACAAUGGAUGACACAUGUCAUUUAUUUGAAAGGGGCAAUUGUUCCACUACAAGAUGGACCUGCGUUGUAUUAGCUAGUAGGUGAGGUAAUGGCUCACCUAGGCGACGAUACAUAGCCGACCUGAGAGGGUGAUCGGCCACACUGGGACUGAGACACGGCCCAGACUCCUACGGGAGGCAGCAGUAGGGAAUCUUCGGCAAUGGGGGCAACCCUGACCGAGCAACGCCGCGUGAGUGAAGAAGGUUUUCGGAUCGUAAAGCUCUGUUGUAAGUCAAGAACGG